CAUGCAAGUUGAACGAAGUAGCAAUACUUAGUGGCAGACGGGUGAGUAACAUGUAGGUAUCUGCCCUUUGGCCUGGAAUAACACGAGGAAACUUGUGCUAAUACCGGAUAAGUCUUUACGGAGAAAGCUUUAUGCACCAUUGGAUGAGCCUGCACUUGAUUAGUUAGUUGGUAGGGUAAUGGCCUACCAAGACUUUGAUCAAUAGCUGAUUUGAGAGGAUGAUCAGCCACAUUGGGACUGAGACACGGCCCAAACUCCUACGGGAGGCAGCAGUGGGGAAUCUUGCACAAUGGAGGAAACUCUGAUGCAGCGAUGCCGCGUGAGUGAAGAAGGCCCUUGGGUUGUAAAGCUCUUUCGUCGGGGAAGAAAAUGACUGUACCCGAAUAAGAAGGUCCGGCUAACUUCGUGCCAGCAGCCGCGGUAAUACGAAGGGACCUAGCGUAGUUCGGAAUUACUGGGCUUAAAGAGUUCGUAGGUGGUUGAAAAAGUUGGUGGUGAAAUCCCAGAGCUUAACUCUGGAACUGCCAUCAAAACUUUUCAGCUAGAGUUUGAUAGAGGAAAGCAGAAUUUCUAGUGUAGAGGUGAAAUUCGUAGAUAUUA
rnacentral:rRNA from 1 species